rnacentral:rRNA from 1 species
UACGUAGGGGGCUAGCGUUAUCCGGAUUUAUUGGGCGUAAAGAGCGUGUAGGCGGCCAUGUAGGUCCGGUGUGAAAACUCGAGGCUUAACCUCGAGAUGUCAUCGGAAACCAUUUGGCUAGAGUCCGGAAGAGGAGAGUGGAAUUCCUGGUGUAGCGGUGAAAUGCGCAGAUAUCAGGAAGAACACCAAUGGCGAAAGCAGCUCUCUGGGACGGUACUGACGCUGAGACGCGAAAGCGUGGGGAGCGAACAGG